rnacentral:lncRNA from 1 species
UCGUCGGUCUAAGUUUGCUCCUAAAACUCAUGAAGGCUUUUUCCUCGGUUAUGGAUCAAACUCCCACACCUACCGUGUCUACAAUAAUUUCACCCGAAAGGUUGAAGAGACGGUAGAUGUGAAGUUUGAUGAAUCUAAUGGCUCGCAAGUAGAGCAAAUGCCUAUUGAUGUAGGAGACAAGGACCCAUCGGAAGCCAUUCAAGAUCUAUCCAUUGGAAAGAUUCGUCCCAUGGAAGUGAAGGAGAGUACCUCAUCUACAUAUGUGGAGCCCCCUACCUCACGGAGAGAUGAACCUCAAGGCAACAUGGAGGCUUCCACAAGUGGAACUCACCAAGAUGAGGAAGUGCAACAAGAAGAUCCACCACAACCUCCUUCCCCACCACCUCAAGACAACACCAACAACAAUGAAGAAGAAGAGGAAGAUGAGGAUGAUGAGGAAACUCAGCCGCGACCACAACAAAAGCUAUCUCGAGUUCGAGCAAGAAUCAAGAAGAAUCAUCCCGUGGAACAAAUGAUGAAUGACAUCGACUCCGGGAGAAUUACUCGCUCUAAAACUCGUUUAGCUAACUUUUGUGAGCAUUACUCAUUCAUUUCUAGUCUUGAACCUAUGAAGGUAGAAGAAGCGCUUGAAGACCCGGAUUGGGUGAACGCUAUGCAUGAAGAGCUACACAACUUCGAGAGGAACAACGUCUGGACUUUGGUAGAGAAGCCCAAUGAUGAUCAAGACGUCAUUGGAACCAAAUGGGUGUUUCGGAACAAGCAAGAUGAGGAUGGACAAGUCAUCCGCAACAAGGCUCGUCUCGUAGCUCAAGGUUACACACAAGUCGAAGGUAUGGACUAUGGUGAGACCUAUGCCCCCGUUGCUAGACUUGAGUCCAUUCGCAUUCUUCUUGCUUAUGCCAACCACCAUGAUAUUACUCUCUAUCAAAUGGACAUUAAAAGUGCUUUCCUAAAUGGUGAAAUUGAGGAGGAAGUAUUUGUGAAACAACCUCCCGGAUUUGUGAAUCCUAAAAAGCCUAAUCAUGUUUACAAGUUGCACAAAGCUCUUUAUGGUCUUAAACAAGCCCCUAGAGCUUGGUACAAAUGCUUAACUAGCUUUCUUCUUGAGAAAGGAUUUGAGAUUGGUAAAAUAGACUCAACGCUUUUCACGAAAAGGGUUGAUAGUGAACUGUUUGUGUGCCAAAUAUAUGUUGAUGAUAUUAUCUUUGGUUCAACUUACCCUCAUUUUAGCGAGAAGUUUGGAAAGCUCAUGUCCGAGAAGUAUGAGAUGUCCAUGAUGAGUGAACUCAAAUUCUUCCUUGGGUUGCAAAUCAAGCAAUCUAAGGAGGGUACCUUUGUCUCACAAACAAAGUACACCAAGGAUCUCUUCAAGAAGUUCAACAUGCAAGAAAGCAAAGGUAUGAGAACCCCCAUGCCUACUAGUGGACAUAAUGACUUGACAAAAGAUGGAGAACCUGUUGAUCAAAAGGUUUAUCGAUCCAUGAUUGGUUCUCUACUAUAUCUCUGUGCUUCUCGUCCUGACAUAAUGUUGAGUGUUUGCAUGUGUGCUCGAUAUCAAGCAGCCCCUAAAGAAUGUCAUCUUAAAGCCGUUAAAAGAAUUGUGAGAUAUUUGAUACACACACCUAACUUUGGCAUUUGGUAUCCUAAGAGGGCCUCUUUCGAUCUUGUUGGCUAUUCCGACUCGGACUAUGCCGGAGACAGGGUUGAUAGAAAGUCAACUUCGGGUACGUGUCAAUUUCUUGGUCGAUCCCUUGUGUCUUGGUCCUCCAAGAAACAAAAUUCAGUAUCACUAUCUACUGCUGAAGCAGAAUAUAUUGCUGCUGGUUCAUGUUGUGCUCAGUUGCUAUGGAUGACACAAACGCUUAAGGAUUAUGGGAUACAUGCGAGACAUGCUCCUUUGCUUUGUGACAAUGAGAGUGCGAUUAAGAUUGGACACAAUCCUGUGCAACACUCUCGCACGAAACACAUUGAAGUUCGUCACCAUUUUAUUCGUGAUCACAUUGCCAAGGGUGACAUCGAUCUUAAGCAUGUUCGUACUGACAAACAGCUUGCAGAUAUCUUUACAAAACCACUUGAUGAGAAAGUGUUUUGUCGCUUAAGGAGUGAGUUGAACAUCAUUGAUGCUUCAAACUUGGAGUGAAAACUCCAUUGAUGCAUGCAAGGCAUGAGCUUACAUGACUAAUCCUUGAUAUUUCUCUUAUGAUGAUGAUCAUAUGUCUUGGACACAUUUGCCCCCUUGUAUUGCAUCUAACUCCUUGCAGGUACUUGGAUGGUCUACAUUCCACAAGAUUACCACACACUCAAAUCUUGAGUAAUCUUGUCAUUGACCAAGUAUCUAGCCCUUUGGGAUGUUGAGUACAAGGAACAAAAUUCCACAUAUCCUUUUUGACACUGUGUACAUCUAGUAUUUCACUCUUGUCAUCUUGGAUACUCUUGAGUAUUUCCUUGCUUGCCUAACCCAUGUAGGAAGAUGAACUACACAAGUUGAAAUGGUGCUCCAACUUCACAUUCAAUGAGCACCUACAUCAAGUUCACCUACAUGAACAAAGCAACAACAAGCCCAAGGUAUGUUCUUCACAUCUUGAAGGAGCUUUGCUCAAAGUCAUGAGUACAAGCAGCUUCAUAAGAUGUGAUCACAUCAAAUGCUUAAUUGAAAAAUGGCAACCCCAUUUUGAGCUUAAACGAUGAGUAUGACCUAUGAUCAAAUGUUCUCAUUUGACUCCUAAGUCAAUAUACUCAAACAUAGGUGACUUUGUCGCCGACCCUUAUCUAGAUGAAGUACAAAUGUUUUGGAGUUUUUCUAUUUUCUCUUAUGUUCUCUCAUUGAGUUUUCUUUUUUAUCAAAAAAAAACUUCAUCUAGCAAUCUUUUUCAUUUCUAUUCUUCUGUCUUUGUGAAUAUCUUUUUGGCUCUGAUCAAUUCCUUGAAAAUCAUUUACAAAUUCAUUACAAAUCUUUUGGAACAUUCCUUGCAAAGUGAGCUGAAUUAUUUCUGUAUUUCCUUGGAAUUAAACUCGGCGUCACCGACCCAAAACUUUCGGUCUGACCGAAAAAGGAUCUGCCCUAAGUCCCAGACUUUCGGACCCACCGAUCCAUCUAAUUCGGUGUCACCGAUUUUUCCUUUAGGAUAGCAUCUUCUGCAGCUCAACUCAAUGAUUCUUUAUGCAUGUUUCUUAUAGCACAGUUGUGAUUCUUAAGGAUCCCACUUCUUUCCUUCCAUCUUUCCUGACCUUCCUAGUUUACUGUCCUUUUCGGCACUUGAUGUCAAAGGGGGAGAAGAUUUAGGGGGAGCUUAGGGGAGAUUGGGAGAUAAGGGGAGAAGAGAAGAUUUAGGAGGAGAAGAAGAGCAAUCUUACCUUAAGGGGGAGAGAAUCACAUCAAAGCUUUGCCGUGUUCCACAUUGGAUAUUACAUUUGGCAUCAUUCUUUUGAUUUUGCUUUCCUCGCUCUCACAAUUGAGAUCUUAUGAAAAGCAAAAUCUCUCAGAGCUCAUUGAAAAAUCUUUCAGUCUUGGGAGACAUGUUUGCUGAUUCAAGCUUGUGCUCAAUAUGAGACACUCUUUACACAUGUCAUCCCUGGCUUGGUACUCUUGAUGUUCUUGCAGUUGGAUGAAGAAAUACUCUUGUGUUAUCUAACCUUGUUUUCCCAAGUUUAUUUCUUCAGGUACAAUGCCAAGGAACUUCAAGGUAAGUAUAUGCAUCUUGCAUAAUGUACAUGAUGGUGACUUGCUUGUGAAUAUCUGUUGCAAGAAAUCACCAUGUACAUAUGCAUUAUCACUCACUUCUUUUCAGCUGCUCUGAUGCAUAUAGCCAAGCUGCAUGUAGCACAUCUUGCUGUUCUCUCUUGUGUGCUUGUGGUAGUCCAAAACCAUAAUCAAUGAAAAUCUUGCACACUUGUAGGGGGAGUCUGUAUACUACAUGUUUGUCAAAGCUUUAAUGAUAAUUCUGUCUUUCUUUCAGUAAGCUUUGAUGUCUUGUUUUGUGUGUUGCCAUCAAUUACCAAAAAGGGGGAGAUUGAAAGCACAUUUGCUCCCUGGGUGGUUUUGGUAAUUAAUGACAACAUACUUUGUGGUUGGACUAAUGCUUUUAUCAAGUAUGUUUCAGGAAGUUCAGUCACUCUGGCAUGGCAAAAGGACUGGAAAGGUGGACCCCUAAGAUGCUAAGACAAGCAUUGGCAAAAGCUCAAGACUCUUUUUUUUUGGUUUAGUGAUCCAAGAUCACAUUGAGUCUAUAGGAAAGCCAAUACUAUUAAAAGGGGAUGAGGUUAUUGUAACGACCAAAUCUCGAAGGAUUUGAGUCUCUGUGCUUACCGUGCUAGUCCCUGGAUCGAACUCGCUAGCACACACAGUAUAGAUGAAUACCAGAAUAGCAAGUGCAUCAUUUAUUACAACGUAUGAUCCAGAAUGUAUAAAAUAAAACAAUCUGCAUAGCACUUGGCUAGCUUUAUUCAAUCAAACAGCGGAAAGUAGCAGAAAAUAACGAUGAGUCCCAUCAUAGCCCACUGGCGAUGCUGAGUGCAGACUCGCGACCCUAACGGUACCUUACUCUUCGUCUGAAUAUCCUGCAACAUGAGACGUUGCAGCCAUAUAGGUCAAUACUUUGAAUGUAUUGGCAAGUUACACAGGAGUAAUAAUAUAGCAGACCUACAUGUAUAUGCAUAGUACAACAAAGGAAGGCUUGAGGGUUUAUUUUUGCAUAAAGCUGAUUUUAUCCUAAUAACUACCUAAUAGUCAAAUUUUUAUUUAGUUCUUUUAUUACUACAAUUAAAUACACAAGGUUGAGUUGGCAAAAUCAACUCCAACCUACCCUUUAUUAAGUUGCCCACAAUUAUUAUUAAGUGUCACAUCUGUCAAGAUCAUCCAACAACUGUAAUGGCAUAGUGGCUCAAAUUUACCCAUAACCGGGGGCACGGCUAAUCAUGAUUAGUUUUAAUACUCUGCAGAGUUUUGUACGCUUUACCCACUGGACCCAAUCCGAAGAUUGAGACGAAGUCUUUCAGAAGAGGUUCCCUUAACCACCUGACGGUCACAUCCCACCUACAUAUACUACAUCUGUCGACACAGUCUGGGCAAGGGUUCCAACAACUGAUCAACUAAGCCAGAGCCCAUAUAGCCAGUGGCCGCACAUGGAAGCUACUAGUCACUAAGUCUGUCUGAUCUUUUUGAACCUGGGCGGCAUUCCACUUACAUUCAGAGGGUAAAAACCAUGAUGUUCUUGAAACCACCCUUCAACACCAAUUCCGCCCAGAGGUGAAUUAAGUCCUCAAUUACUACUCAAUUUGAUUAUAUUUAUAAUCCUCACAUAAUCUCAAUGUAUACACGAACCACCCCCGUCUACAAAGCAUAGCAAACUACAACUACCACGAUUUGCAAAAGACGGGAAGAUAGCUCAACAUCAUAUAGCAAAAUAAUAUAGUAUUCCUAUACAUGCAUAAAUUCAUAGUGUGAUAUAACUACAUGCAUAGAAAACAAUAGGUAAAGGAUGAUCAACAUGUAACUUGCCUUGGUUCUGGUUCAGAAAGUCACACUCCUGACAAUAGUUCGCGUCGCACUCCGGACAAUCUACACGUUUCACACAAUUCAACAAAUCAAUCACCGAAACACGAAUAGAACCAAAAUAUAAACCAACAGCAAGAAAAUCAUUUUCAAAAACACAACAACAGAAGCUUAACAGCACCUAAAUUGCACUACGGUCACAACGCAAAAAGAAUCACUCGAAUCCGAUAAACGGUUUAAGAGUUAUGGCCUCCGGAAGAUUUAAUUCAAAUUUAAACGAAUUCAAAUUUAAACAGUGCAAACAUGUGCAAAGUCGGUACUGUGAUAAUCUGCUGAUUUUCCUGAGUGCACAGGAAAAAGAAUUACCUAAAUUGGCUAUAUAGAAUAAAAGAUAUAGCUAGUUGAAGUUAGAGUUGAAAUCUGAAAAUAAAACAAAAGAAAACAGAAAUCCCCUGCGUUACUGUAGCAACUCCUGUGCGUGUCCUGUAGCGAAGUGCCAUGUGGCAGCACCGGAUUGGUCAGCGGCUGCUGUGCGCGUGUGCUCACCAGAAGCAGAGGAAAACGGCGGCGGCUUCGGGCGUCGGCGGCGGUGGCUCUCCGGCGAGUCUCCGGCGAAGGUGAAGCGACGGAUGGGUGCGGCGGUGAGUGGCGGAGGUGGUGGUGGUGUUCAACGGCGGCGGGGCGUCCUCUGCGGGCGGUAGCGACGAGGUGAACCACGGUGGUGCCCCGGCGAAGUUGGGCGUCGGCGGCGGCAUCGUUCUGGUGAUCUGCAGGUCACCCCGAUUGGUAAAACGAGUGCGGCGUCGAGAGGGGGUUCGAACGGUGACAAGCGGAGCGGCCGGGCGUCCUUACAGCGGUGGAUUCGGACGGUCAACAACGGCGGCCUCGGAGCUCCUCCGGCGAGAUCCAGACGGCGCAGCGGCUUCGAGCAGACGAGAAAAGAAAGGGGAGGGCGUGCGCUAGGGUUCCCGAUGGCCUUUUGCUCGAGCGGGGAGUCCCAGGGGUGCACGGGGUCGGACCAGGCAUCGGAUCGAUCCGGAUCGGCCUCGGCGUGCGCGCGGCGGCGCGUCCGGCUCGGUGAAGGGGAUGAACAGGGCGCGGGACCCGCUGUCAGCGGCUGGGGCGAGGUGGAUCGGGCGCGGGCGAGCGAUGCGGGUCAGGUGCGGGCGUACCGCUUCGCUAGGUUUAGCGGGCUGCGGGCGGUGGGGUUUGGUGGGCCGCAGCGGUGUGGUGCGGCGCUGCUGGGCCGUGCAGUGCGCUGCGGCGCUGCGCUGCGUUUUCCUUUUUUUUAAACAAAAACUACAGCAGCAAGACUAAAAAUAAAUAAAAUAAAAUACACAAUAUAAAUUCUAAAUAAAAAUACCUAGACACACAGUAAAAAUAGCUCUACAGCUAUAAACUACGGGAACACUAGUUCCAACUCUAAUGCAAUUUUGUAAAAUAUUUUUGAUGCAAUAGGCCACUCAAACAGCAAUAAAACAAACAAAUAAAAUAUUUUGAAGAUCACAAGAAUUACCAGAACAUAUCAAAUGAACUGGAAAUAAUAUUCUGCACAUUAUGAACAUUUUUAAAAUAGGGGAGAAGUCAUGUUAUCUCCACUCCAAAUAAAUUGCCUUUUGUUGCAUAAUGAUUUGAAUAUUACCGAAAAGCAAAUAAUGCAUGGAAAAUAUGAUAUGCAUAUGUAUGAUCUAAUAACAUCCUAAUUUAUGAAAAUUGGGAUGUUACAAACCUACCCCCCUUAAGAUGAAUCUCGCCCUCGAGAUUCGGGCUGGCUAGCAAAUAGGUGUGGGUGAUCCUGCUUGAGAUCUUCCUCUCGUUCCCAGGUAGCUUCCUCCUCGGUGUGAUGAUCCCACUGAACCUUGCACAACUUGAUUGUCUUGGUGCGAGUAACUCUCUCUGCUGUCUCCAGAAUCUUAACAGGUUUCUCCUCAUAUGUCAAAUCACUCUCCAACUGAAUUGCCUCAAGUGGCACUGUGUCCCUCAAUGGAACAUCCAUCAUCUCUGCAUGACACUUCUUCAACUGAGAUACAUGAAACACAUCGUGAACUCCUGACAAGGAUUCUGGCAACUCCAACUGAUAAGCUACCUCUCCUCUACGCUCCAAGAUCGUGUAAGGCCCCACAAAACGUGGUGCUAACUUACCCUUGAUUCCAAACCUCUUAAUUCCACGAAGUGGUGAAACUCUAAGAUAUGCACGGUCUCCUACCUCAUAUGUCACCUCCUUAUGUUUCGCAUCUGCAUGACUCUUCUGUCUGGACUGUGCUAUCUUCAGCCUGUCACGAAUCAACUUGACCUUCUCCUCAGCAUCUCUAAUCAAGUCUGGCCCAAAGAACUGACGCUCUCCAACCUCAUCCCACAUCAACGGUGUCCGGCACUUUCUGCCAUACAAUACCUCAAAUGGUGCCAUCUUCAGACUAGCCUGAUAACUGUUAUUAUAUGAGAACUCUGCAUAAGGUAAAUUAUCAUCCCAACUGGACCCAUAGUCCAAAGCACAAGCUCUCAACAUAUCCUCCAAAAUCUGAUUUACCCUCUCUGUCUGCCCAUCUGUCUGUGGAUGGAAAGCUGUACUGAACUCCAGCCUGGUGCCCAAGGAUUCAUGCAACUGGCGCCAAAACUUAGAUGUGAACUGAGUACCUCUAUCAGACACUACCUUCCUCGGAACUCCAUGCAGACAAACAAUUUUAUACAUAUAAAUCUUUGCUAGCUGAGCACUGGUAUAAGUAGUCUUUACCGGGAUGAAGUGAGCAACUUUAGUCAAACGAUCAACAACUACCCAAAUAGAAUCAUAACCUGAUCGAGUCCUGGGUAGACCUGUAAUGAAAUCCAUACCAAUCUCAUCCCACUUCCAAUCAGGUAUAGGCAAUGGCUGUAACAAACCUGCUGGUCGUUGAUGUUCUGCUUUAACCCUCUGGCACACAUCACAUGUUGCAAUAUAUCCAGCAAUUUCCCUCUUCAGGCUAGGCCACCAAAAUCUUUCCCUCAAAUCCAAAUACAUCUUAGUAUUACCUGGGUGAAUAGAAUAAGGUGAAUCAUGGGCCUCCUGAAGAAUCAACUUCCUGAUGUCUGCAUCCUGAGGUACACAAAUACGCUUCUCAAACCAUAUGGCCCCAUGUUCAUCCUCAUGGAAACCUUCUGCUUUACCUUUAACCAUGUUCUCUUUUAUCUCAGCAAUCUCCUUAUCACCCUUUUGAGCUUCUCUAAUCCUAUCAAGCAAAGUAGGCUUUACCUCAAGUGUUGCCAAAUAUCCCUUAGGAACCAUCUCCAACCUGAGAUUCCUGAAUUGUUCACAUAACUCGGGUGGCAUAUUAUCAAUAUUAAUUGCAUUAGCAUGCCUCCUACGACUCAAUGCAUCAGCAACAACAUUAGCCUUACCAGAAUGAUACUGCACAUUCAAAUCAUAAUCCUUGAUAAGCUCCAACCAUCUCCUCUGCCUGAGGUUCAAAUCUUUCUGAGUAAAGAUAUACUUCAAGCUCUUAUGAUCAGUAAAUAUAUCACAACGAUUACCAAUAAGGUAUGGCCUCCAAGUUUUCAAUGCAUGCACAACUGAGGCUAACUCCAAAUCAUGUGUAGGAUAAUUAUGCUCAUAAUUCUUAAGCUGACGUGAAGCAUAUGAAACAACUUUACCUUCCUGCAUCAAAACACUCCCAAGUCCUUGACGAGAAGCAUCACAAUAUACCUGGAAGUCCUUAUGUAUAUCCGGCAGUGUUAAGACUGGUGCUGUAACCAAACGCUGCUUCAAUUCCUGAAAGCUGGCUUCACAUUCAUCAGUCCAAACAAACUUCUUCUCCUUCUUCAACAAUUCAGUCAUAGGCUUUGCAAUCUUGGAAAAAUUCUCAAUAAACCUCCUGUAAUAACCUGCAAGGCCCAAAAAGCUGCGAAUCUCCCCAACUGUCGUGGGUGUCUCCCACUCUGUAACUGCAGCAACCUUAGAUGGAUCAACUGCAACUCCCUUACUUGACACAACAUGUCCAAGGAAAGCUACCUCAUCCAGCCAAAACUCACAUUUGCUGAACUUGGCAUACAACUGAUGUUCCCUCAAUUUCACCAAUACCAAACGUAGAUGCACCUCAUGCUCUUGCUUUUUCUUGGAGAACACCAAUAUAUCAUCAAUGAAAACAACCACAAAUUUAUCCAAGAACUCCAUAAACACCUUGUUCAUCAUAUUCAUGAAGUAUGCAGGAGCGUUAGUCAAUCCAAAUGACAUAACAGUAUAUUCAUACAACCCAUACCUCGUGGUGAAAGCAGUCUUGGGAAUAUCUUGCUCACGAAUCUUUAAUUGAUGAUAACCAGAACGAAGAUCUAUCUUAGAAAACACAGUAGCUCCCUCCAACUGGUCAAAUAGAUCAUUUAUCAUAGGCAAAGGAUACUUAUUCUUAAUGGUAACCUCAUUCAGAGAACGAUAAUCAACACACAUCCUCAAGGUUCCAUCCUUCUUCUCCACAAACAAAACUGGAGCUCCCCAAGGUGAUGAACUUGGGCGAAUAAAUCCUUGUGCCUGCAAUUCUCUUAUCUGCUUCUUCAAUUCCUCCAACUCUUGAGGAGGCAUUCUAUAUGGUCUCUUUGCAAUAGGUCCAGUGCCUGGUAUUAAAUCAAUAAGAAACUCAAUAUCCCUAUCUGGUGGCAUACCUGGCAACUCCUCUGGAAACACAUCUGGAUAAUCCCUCACAACUGGCACCUCUUCCAGGCUACCCCCCUUAAGAGAGUUCACCUGCACCUGAUUAUGCUUAUACUUACACACAUAUUUGAUCCUCUUCCCUCCUGGUGCACUGAGAGUAAUAGAUCGACUGGCACAAUCAAUACGACAUUUAUAUAACUGCAACCAAUCCAUACCCAAAAUAAUAUCCAGACCUUGUGACUUCAAUAUAAUCAAAUCUGUAGGAAACUCAUGCUUCCCAAUAGACAAAGUCAACUGAUGACAACCAACACCUGCUAUCAUCUCAGCUCCUGGGGAACUCACUCUAAUAGGCAUACUAAGGGUUUUGGUUGGUAAUCCAUGUUUAUCAACAAAUACCCUCGAAAUGAAUGAAUGCGAUGCACCAGUAUCAAAAAGAACAACUGCAGGUACUGAAUUAAUCAAGAACUUACCAAUCACUGCAUCAGGUUCAUUGUAAACCUCCUCCACAUAAACAUGAUUUACAUGACCCUUUUGGAAGGGGUUUGGCUUGCUGGAUCCUGAGUUCUUCGCACCUGGGCAAUCUGUGGCAUAGUGCCCCAUAGCCUUACACCUGAAGCACUGCACCUGACUCAAAUCCCUUGGCGCACGUGUAACCUGGUGGUUCUGGUUAUUGUUCCCUCCAUUGCCAUUACCAUUACCAUUACCAUUACCAUUACCUCUGCCAUUGCCAUUGUUACUCUUGUGCCCAUUAUGAUGAUGGUGGCCAUUAUGGUCGUGGCCAUUCCCUCCAUGAUGAUUAUGAUCAUUACCUCCAUGAUGAUUAUGAUGCCCAUUACCUCCAUGAUGAUUAUGUCCAUUACCUCCAUUACCAUGAUAUGAAGUGCGUGGCUUCUGCUGUGGUCCUGAAUUAUACCUGUUACUAUUGUUGUACUUCCUCUUGCGAUUCUCUAUGGCCUGUUGCUUUCCCUCUAGAACGAUAGCCUUAUCAAUCAGCUCCUGGCAAUUAUUAAAAGUGGCCACUGUCAACUGAAGGCUCAACUCAUCAUUUAGGCCCUCCAAGAAUUUCUCCUGCCUAGCUGCAUCAGUGUUAACAUCAUUAGGAGCAUAACGUGCAAGAUUAUUAAAUUCAUCCACAUAAGCAUUAACUGUGCGACCACCCUGGCGCAAACUGCGAAACUCCUUCUUUUUCAGACUCAUAGCACCAGCAGACACAUGUGCAGCACGGAAAGCUGUCUGAAACUGCACCCAAGUGACAGUAGCAAUGGGAUAAGUGACCAAAAAGUUGUCCCACCAAGCUGCGGCAGGACCCUCCAACAAAUGUGAGGCAAACCUCACCCUCUCUGCAUCUGUGCAUCCAACCGUAUCCAGGUUCUUAUUGACUGCACGGAGCCAAUCAUCAGCCACAAUAGGUUCAGGGGAACUGGAGAACCUCUGAGGAUUCAACCUCAAGAACCUGGUAAGCAUAUCCACAGGUGGCGGUGGUGGCGGAUUGUUGUUGUUAUUGUUGUUGUUUCCCAUGUUCUGAGCAAGCAACUGGAUCAACUGAGCCUGUCCCUGAAGCAACUGCUGCAUGUAUGGCGGUAUAUCAUUGCCAUUGUUGUCUCCUCCUGCAGCAGUGCGUCUAGUAUCACGCCUCGGCGGCAUCUGGUGGGCAAGCAUAGAUGAGUUAUAGAUAUAAUAGGGCCAAAAGCUAUGUAUAUAUAAAUAUAUUCUACCCAAAUGCAUAAUAUGAUCAAGCCAACAAAACACAACAAUGAAUAACACCAACAACAAACAACAAACAACAAACAACAAACAAUAUUAUAUAUAUACGUAUAUAGUCGAAUAAUUUCGACAAGAUAUAAAUUAACAAACAAACUACCAAUCAAGCAAACAAUCUAGUAUCGUCAUACCACAAAAGUGGGUAUAAUCAGAUACGCUAACAUGAUAACGCUGCAAUAUAAAAAAAACCUGAAUGGUGGUCUCAGCACUAGUUCCUACUUAACUGGUCAAGAUACUUGAGGGGCUUAACUAAUAAAUAGUAAGAAGUAUAACUAGUUGAUAAAUAAUUUUCACUCCUAUGGCUUUUCUAAUCCAUUUUCUAGGGUCACGUCCUACAGUCAACACACUGCUCUGAUGCCAUCUGUAACGACCAAAUCUCGAAGGAUUUGAGUCUCUGUGCUUACCGUGCUAGUCCCUGGAUCGAACUCGCUAGCACACACAGUAUAGAUGAAUACCAGAAUAGCAAGUGCAUCAUUUAUUACAACGUAUGAUCCAGAAUGUAUAAAAUAAAACAAUCUGCAUAGCACUUGGCUAGCUUUAUUCAAUCAAACAGCGGAAAGUAGCAGAAAAUAACGAUGAGUCCCAUCAUAGCCCACUGGCGAUGCUGAGUGCAGACUCGCGACCCUAACGGUACCUUACUCUUCGUCUGAAUAUCCUGCAACAUGAGACGUUGCAGCCAUAUAGGUCAAUACUUUGAAUGUAUUGGCAAGUUACACAGGAGUAAUAAUAUAGCAGACCUACAUGUAUAUGCAUAGUACAACAAAGGAAGGCUUGAGGGUUUAUUUUUGCAUAAAGCUGAUUUUAUCCUAAUAACUACCUAAUAGUCAAAUUUUUAUUUAGUUCUUUUAUUACUACAAUUAAAUACACAAGGUUGAGUUGGCAAAAUCAACUCCAACCUACCCUUUAUUAAGUUGCCCACAAUUAUUAUUAAGUGUCACAUCUGUCAAGAUCAUCCAACAACUGUAAUGGCAUAGUGGCUCAAAUUUACCCAUAACCGGGGGCACGGCUAAUCAUGAUUAGUUUUAAUACUCUGCAGAGUUUUGUACGCUUUACCCACUGGACCCAAUCCGAAGAUUGAGACGAAGUCUUUCAGAAGAGGUUCCCUUAACCACCUGACGGUCACAUCCCACCUACAUAUACUACAUCUGUCGACACAGUCUGGGCAAGGGUUCCAACAACUGAUCAACUAAGCCAGAGCCCAUAUAGCCAGUGGCCGCACAUGGAAGCUACUAGUCACUAAGUCUGUCUGAUCUUUUUGAACCUGGGCGGCAUUCCACUUACAUUCAGAGGGUAAAAACCAUGAUGUUCUUGAAACCACCCUUCAAUACCAAUUCCGCCCAGAGGUGAAUUAAGUCCUCAAUUACUACUCAAUUUGAUUAUAUUUAUAAUCCUCACAUAAUCUCAAUGUAUACACGAACCACCCCCGUCUACAAAGCAUAACAAACUACAACUACCACGAUUUGCAAAAGACGGGAAGAUAGCUCAACAUCAUAUAGCAAAAUAAUAUAGUAUUCCUAUACAUGCAUAAAUUCAUAGUGUGAUAUAACUACAUGCAUAGAAAACAAUAGGUAAAGGAUGAUCAACAUGUAACUUGCCUUGGUUCUGGUUCAGAAAGUCACACUCCUGACAAUAGUUCGCGUCGCACUCCGGACAAUCUACACGUUUCACACAAUUCAACAAAUCAAUCACCGAAACACGAAUAGAACCAAAAUAUAAACCAACAGCAAGAAAAUCAUUUUCAAAAACACAACAACAGAAGCUUAACAGCACCUAAAUUGCACUACGGUCACAACGCAAAAAGAAUCACUCGAAUCCGAUAAACGGUUUAAGAGUUAUGGCCUCCGGAAGAUUUAAUUCAAAUUCAAACGAAUUCAAAUUUAAACAGUGCAAACAUGUGCAAAGUCGGUACUGUGAUAAUCUGCUGAUUUUCCUGAGUGCACAGGAUAAAGAAUUACCUAAAUUGGCUAUAUAGAAUAAAAGAUAUAGCUAGUUGAAGUUAGAGUUGAAAUCUGAAAAUAAAACAAAAGAAAACAGAAAUCCCCUGCGUUACUGUAGCAACUCCUGUGCGUGUCCUGUAGCGAAGUGCCACGUGGCAGCACCGGAUUGGUCAGCGGCUGCUGUGCGCGUGUGCUCACCAGAAGCAGAGGAAAACGGCGGCGGCUUCGGGCGUCGGCGGCGGUGGCUCUCCGGCGAGUCUCCGGCGAAGGUGAAGCGACGGAUGGGUGCGGCGGUGAGUGGCGGAGGUGGUGGUGGUGUUCAACGGCGGCGGGGCGUCCUCUGCGGGCGGUAGCGACGAGGUGAACCACGGUGGUGCCCCGGCGAAGUUGGGCGUCGGCGGCGGCAUCGUUCUGGUGAUCUGCAGGUCACCCCGAUUGGUAAAACGAGUGCGGCGUCGAGAGGGGGUUCGAACGGUGACAAGCGGAGCGGCCGGGCGUCCUUACAGCGGUGGAUUCGGACGGUCAACAACGGCGGCCUCGGAGCUCCUCCGGCGAGAUCCAGACGGCGCAGCGGCUUCGAGCAGACGAGAAAAGAAAGGGGAGGGCGUGCGCUAGGGUUCCCGAUGGCCUUUUGCUCGAGCGGGGAGUCCCAGGGGUGCACGGGGUCGGACCAGGCGUCGGAUCGAUCCGGAUCGGCCUCGGCGUGCGCGCGGCGGCGCGUCCGGCUCGGUGAAGGGGAUGAACAGGGCGCGGGACCCGCUGUCAGCGGCUGGGGCGAGGUGGAUCGGGCGCGGGCGAGCGAUGCGGGUCAGGUGCGGGCGUACCGCUUCGCUAGGUUUAGCGGGCUGCGGGCGGUGGGGUUUGGUGGGCCGCAGCGGUGUGGUGCGGCGCUGCUGGCCCGUGCAGUGCGCUGCGGCGCUGCGCUGCGUUUUCCUUUUUUUUAAACAAAAACUACAGCAGCAAGACUAAAAAUAAAUAAAAUAAAAUACACAAUAUAAAUUCUAAAUAAAAAUACCUAGACACACAGUAAAAAUAGCUCUACAGCUAUAAACUACGGGAACACUAGUUCCAACUCUAAUGCAAUUUUGUAAAAUAUUUUUGAUGCAAUAGGCCACUCAAACAGCAAUAAAACAAACAAAUAAAAUAUUUUGAAGAUCACAAGAAUUACCAGAACAUAUCAAAUGAACUGGAAAUAAUAUUCUGCACAUUAUGAACAUUUUUAAAAUAGGGGAGAAGUCAUGUUAUCUCCACUCCAAAUAAAUUGCCUUUUGUUGCAUAAUGAUUUGAAUAUUACCGAAAAGCAAAUAAUGCAUGGAAAAUAUGAUAUGCAUAUGUAUGAUCUAAUAACAUCCUAAUUUAUGAAAAUUGGGAUGUUACAGUUAUGAUAAUGAUCUGGUUGCUCAAAGUGCUUAGUGAUCUAUCUCCCAAACCAUCAGCAAUCUUUCAUUCCAACAUACACUCAUAAGUAAUCUCGGUCCCACCGAUUCCAUAAACUCAGUCACACCGAGAUGAACCACCUCUGCCACAAAGCCAAACCCUAGUAAUUUCGGUUUUUCCGAUUCCAAACUCGGUCUCACCGAAACUAGUGUUGCCAACCUUCUGUAACCUUCUGUCAUCAAAUCGGUGUCACCGAGAUGAUAAAGUCGGUCCCACUGAGAUUGGAAAACCCUAGUCUUUGGAAGAAUCGGACUCACCGAGAUUGUAUUUUUGGUCCCACCGAAAAUCCCAACGUUCACAAGAUUUGAACUUUCGGUCUCACCGAGUUGUCAACUUCGGUCUGACCGAGAUUGGUCAAAUGUGUGUAACGGUUGGAUUUUGUGUGGAGGCUAUAAAUACCCCUCCACCUCCUCUUCAUUCGUGGAGAGAGCCAUCAGAAAGAACUACCACUCCUACCUUACAUUUCUGAGAAGAAAACUACCUACCCUUGUGUUGAGAUCAAGUUGCUCCACUCCCACCAUAUGAAACUUGAUUUCUAGCCUUCCCAAGUUGCUUUCCACUCAAUCCUUUCUUCCACCAUAGCCAAAUCAGUGAGGAGAGUUGAGUGUUGGGGAGAUUAUCAUUUGAAGCACAAGAGCAAGGAGUUCAUCAUCACCAACACCAUCUAUUACCUUUUGGAGGGUGGUGCCUCCUAGAUUGGUUAGGUGUCGCUUGGGAGCCUCCGUCAAGAUGUGGAGUUGAACCAAGAAGUUUGUAAGGGCAAGGAGAUCGCCUACUUCGUGAAGAUCUACCCCGAGUAAGGCUAGUCCUCCGUGGGCGUAUGCCAUGAUGGCAUAGAUAAGGUUGCUUCUUUGUGGACCCUUCGUGGGUGGAGCCCUCCGUGGACUCUCGCAGCCGUUACCCUCCGUGGGUUGAAGUCUCCAUCAACGUGGAUUGACGAUAGCACCACCUAUCGGAACCACGAGAAAAAUCUCCGUGUCUCCAAAUUGCGUUUGAUCUUCUCCACCUCUCUUUACUUCAUGUGCAAUUUACUUUCCGCUGCCCAUACUCUAGAAUUGCAUGUGUAGUAUGCUACUUGACUUGUGUGAUAUGCUAAAUCUGCCAAGAACUUGUCUUUGUAAAAAGGCAUAAUUUUUAUCUUGUCGAGUAGUCUAAUCACCCCCCCUCUAGACACUCUUACCUUCAACGAUCCUACAACCAGGGACACGGCUAACCAUGAUUAGUUUAUACACUCUACAGAGGUUGCAUCCUUUUCCCCACAAGACUCGACCGCAUCCAUGAUCGGAUGAUCGAGACAUAGUCUUUCUGAAGCAUUAACUCUCUACAUUGGUAGACCGGUACACCUACUUUCCCCUACAUCUGCUAGUCCACCUCUUCAAGAGCUCACACAUCUUACUCAACUAUGCCAGAGCCCAUAAUGGCUUGUGGCUUCAUGUAGGAUCGAAAGUAUGUCUAGAGGGGGGGUGAUUAGACUACUUGACAAUAUAAAAAUUCUGCCUUUUGACAAAGACAAGUUUUUGGCAGAUUCACAAUGAUGAUCAAGUCAAGCAUCACCCUACACAUGCAAUUCUAGAGUAUAGGCAGCGGAAAGUAAAUUGCACAUGUAGUAAAGAGAGGUGGAGAAGAGCAAACGCAAUUUUGGAGACGCGGUGAUUUUUUCACGUGGUUCCGAUAGGUGGUGCUAUCGUACUUCCACGUUGAUGGAGACUUCAACCAACGGAGGGUAACGGCUGCGAGAGUCCAUGGAGGGCUCCACCCACGAAGGGUCCACGAAGAAGCAACCUUGUCUAUGCCAUCAUGGCCUACGCCCACGGAGGGCUAGCCUUACUCGGGGUAGAUCUUCACGAAGUAGGCGAUCUCCUUGCCCUUACAAACUUCUUGGUUCAACUCCACAUCUCGACGGAGGCUCCCAAGCGACACCUAACCAAUCUAGGAGGCACCACCCUCCAAAAGGUAAUAGAUGGUGUUGAUGAUGAUGAACUCCUUGCUCUUGUGCUUCAAAUGAUAAUCUCCCCAACACUCAACUCUCCUCACUGAUUUGGCUGUGGUGGAAGAAAGGAUUGAGUGGAAAGCAACUUGGGAAGGCUAGAGAUCAAGCUUCAUAUGGUGGGAGUGGAGCAACUUGAUCUCAACACAAGGGUAGGUAGUUCUCUUCUCAGAAAUGUAAGGUAGGAGUGGUAGUUCUUUCUGAUGGCUCUCUCCACAAAUGAAGAGGGGGUGGAGGGGUAUUUAUAGCCUCCACACAAAAUCCAACCGUUACACACAUUUGACCAAUCUCGGUGGGACCGAAGUUGACAACUCGGUGAGACCGAAAGUUCAAAUCAUGUGAAUGUUGGGAUUUUCGGUGGGACCGAAAAUACAAACUCGGUUAGUCCGAUUUGUGUAAAGACAAGAGCUUGCCAAUCUCGGUGGGACCGACUUCAUCAUCUCGGUGACACCGAUUUGAUGACAGAAGGUUACAGAAGCUUGGCAACUCAAGUUUCGGUGAGACUGAGUUCAGAAUCGGAAAAUCCGAGAUUUCUAGGGUUUGGCUAUAUGGCUGAGGUGGUUCAUCUUGGUGUGACUGAGUUUGGAAUAUCGGUGGGACCGAGAUUACUUAUGAGUGUAUAUGGCAGUGAAAGUUGCUGAUAGUUUAGGAGAUGUAUCACUAAGCACUUGAGCAACCAGAUCAUCAUCAUAACCUCAUCCCCUUUUAAUAGUAUUGGCUUUCCUAUGGACUCAAUGUGAUCUUGGAUCACUAAACCAAAAAUGGAGUCUUGAGCUUUUGCCAAUGCUUGCCUUAGCAUUUUGAGGGGUCCACUUCUUCAGUCCUUGCCAUACCCAUAUCACUGAACUUUCUGAAAUGAUUCUCAAAUAACUAUUAGUUCAAUGAUAUAUAUGUUGUUAUUAAUUACCAAAACCACCCGGGGAUUAGUUGCACUUUCAAUCUCCCCCUUUUUGGUAAUUGAUGACAACAUAUAGAUCAAAGCUUCGACAAAGGAUAUAAUCAAUGAAUAAUAUCUUCGCUUUGAGAAGUAUGUGAUAAGCAAGAGCUCCCCCUAAAUUUGUGCAUUAUUUAAGAUUUGCGUUUGAAUGCAAAUGCACAAUCGAUUAGGAUCAUGGGUCACUCUUCCAUGUCACAUACAUCUUGGUGGAGCGCACAAAAUGAUAAGAAUGAAUAGCAUGCACCCAAUCACCAAGACAUGAGGAAAUGGUCAUACAAGAUAGGAAUAGCAUAUGAUAAGCAUUAAGCACACAUUAAAACAUAGUACGACCAAGCACUCAUAAAGUAGGAUCAAACGUAGUAUCAAACACACUAAAUGUCUCGAAAACCAAAAGUAUCUCAAAGAAACCGCAAAUGAACGAAAGAGCAAAAGCGACAACAGCACUCUCUCUCUCUCUCGAAGUCCUAUGAUCUAUACAAUUUCUCCCCCUUUGGCAACAAGUUACCAAAAAGUUCGAAACAGCAUAGAGCUAAGCGUCACUGGGGACUCUGCUGGCGGCUCCUGUCUGGGUUGAUGUUGGAGUUGAUAUGGCAGCAUCGGCGAAGACUUCAGCUGAUGUCUGUGCUGGAGGAGUGGUCACUGGAGUUGGAGCUGGAGCAACUGAUGGAACUGUGGGAGGUGCUGAAGCUGUAGUCCCGGUGUCUGUCACUGGAAUAGCAGCUGAUCGGGGUCCUGUGGGAACCGGAGCAGUCUGUUGAUAAGCAUCCUGGACUAAGUCAUCCUGCAUCUCACGCAUAAGCUCUUCCUUCUUCCUCUUUGCUUCCUCAAUAUCUGCCUCAAGCUUGUUAACAGUUACUUGCACUUCAGUCAGCUUCACAUCCAGAGCGUGGAUCUUGUCUUCAACAAUCCUCUCUAGGCUCUCCUGAGACUGUACAAUGCUGGCCAGGAGUUGCUCAAUCCUUUGGGUAGCUUCAAGGAGCUGCUCUCCAACACUCUUUGGUUUAGCUGCUGCUGCUGCUGCUUCCUUGUCAGCUUUGGCUUUCUUGGCAGCUUCAAUCUUGGCUUGACCUUCAACAGAUGUUGGGUCCUCCUCAUCCAUCACAACAUCAUUAUCCUCAUGCUCAGGCUGAAGUGGUAAGUGUUCUCUAUCCAACAAGAAUGUGCCCGUGCCAAACUUGGCAUUGAUAAGCAUCUGAAUAUGCGGGGCAAAUCCACACGACCUUUUCUGGUCAGCUGCAGUCCUCUUAAUGGUUUCUACUAUUAAGUCCAUCACCUUGAAAGGUGCUUUCUCAUCAAGUAUAUGCAGCAUGUUGAUAGAGUAUCCUUUGAUCAUGCGAUGAUCUCCAGACUUGGGCAUCAAGGUAUGCCUCAGAAUAGUAUUGGUGGUAGGUAGAUCUGCCUAGAGAUAGUACACUGAGUCGAGCUUCCAGAUUCCCAAAUCCUUUGCUGGAACCUCUUUGUACAUGUUCUUCAUGGAUUCAUGGUUCUUCUUUGGAAUACCAUAUACAUCAACAUCAUCUUCUCUUUGCACUGGAGCAUUCAGAAGUUCUGCCCAUUCUUCAACAGAAGAAGAAUAUCUUUGGCCUUCAGUCAUCCAUACAAUCUUUCCAUUUGGGUAGAAGUGAGCUGUGGCAUAGAAUUGCAUAAUCAUCUCAUCGUUCCAAUUUGUCAACUUCUGACCUACAAAGUCUGCAACACCACAUGCAGUGAAGCUCUCAUGCACAUGUGGAAAGAAAUCUCUAUGCUCUUCGCUGUCAAUGUAUUUCCAAUCAACAUAUCUUGUGUCUGCCACUAUGGGCUUCUUGUCCAUCAGCACAGUCUCAUAGAAGUCCUGCUGCUCUCUGGUGUGAAAUCUGGGAUCAACAGCAGUUCUUCUCCUCACGGCAUAUGGAUCAGCUUGUCUCCACAGCCUGAGACCUCUAUCUUUCCUUUCCUUCAUAUUCUCAGCUUGAGGAUGAGCAUCAUUGUGAAGUGGCAGUUUUGGACGAAGUUUCAGCAAAAUUGGUCCUUCAUCAUCUGACACAGCUGGUGGCACAUCAUCUUUGUUCUUUUCAGAUGCUGGAAUGUUCCUGACUGUCUUCUUGGGCUUGGCAGCAGGCUUUGCUGGAGCUGCCUUAGCUGGAGCAGAUGGCUUGGGCUUUGAAGUGGCUCCAGCCCUGAUGGCAUCACCCAUGAGCUUAGGCUUCUGAGGAGGCUGGGGUGCUUCCUCAUCCUCAUCUUCCUCUGCUGCAUCAUCAUGCACUAACCUUUUCCUCUUGGAAGUUUUCUUCACUUUGCUUGCAGCUUCUUCCAAAUUCAGCUUCUUAGCAACAGUUGAUUCCUUCACUUUUCUGGUGCCCUUCUUAGUUUGCUGACCUUGUGGCUCUUUGGCAACAACUUUCCUCUUAGGCUUUGAUGUUACUUCUUCCUCAACAACAAAAUCUGAGUCUUCAUCAUCUGAGUUCCUCUUCUUUCUGGCUCUGGUGGCUGCAGGAGGCAAACCACUUGGUGUACUCCGCUCACCAUCAUCUGAUGAGCUGCUGGGAUCAGGACUAGUGCUUGCCUCUGGAAUAUCUGCUAUAGGUGACUCUGACCUGUUCUGGCUGUCACUGGUAUCUGACAUGGCUGACAACCUGUGAAUAGAUAAGGUGUAGGCAGAGUAGAAGAGUUAUCACAAACUGCAGAAGUUUUUGCAAACAAAUGAGUUCAAAUUUUAGUAUUGGGUUUUCACAGAAGACAUUUCGGUCAGACCGAGUUUAAAAUUCGGUGAAUCCGAAGUGUUCAAACAGAAGCUUUCAUACCACUUUCGGUUGGACCAAAGUGGGUUUCGGUCCUGCCGAAAACACUAGGGUUUCACAGAAUCGCCAUUUCGGUCACACCGAUUUGCACAACUCGGUUGGACCGAAGGGUGCAGUGCAAUGGCCAUAGGCCAAAUCGGUCUUACGGAAAAUCUAAAAUCGGUCUCACCGAGAUGUGUUCGGCGGAAACCUAACCCUAAAACUCUUACUCGAAUCUCGUUCAAAAGAACCAAUCUGGUGUUCAGGAAUAUUUCAAUCGUGGCAAGAUUAUGGGCAAACCAAACGUGCAUUGAAUCGGAGAUGGGAGCACGAGUGGGAUCGAAACUCACCCUAACUUGGUGGAGUUUCUCUACGGCGGCAACGGCGCGGAGAAGAUGUCCGUUGACGGCGACGGAGACCUGCGGCGAGGGCGCACAGGCGACGACGGCGACGAUCCGGAGACUAAGGCGACGGCAGCAAGGGGUGCGGGGCCGAAACGUUUGAAGUAGAAAUCAACGCGCGCGGCCCUCGGAGUAUAUAUACCCCUUUGCUGUCGGUGGGACCGAGUUGUAAAACUCGGUGGCACCGAGAUGGAUAACUGCAGGGCAGUUAUGCACUUCGGUCACGCCGAAAAUCACAACUCGGUUUCACCGAGGUGAAAACCUAGAUCAAUCUAAAUGUUUUCGGUUUGACCAAAUUUGAGUGAGUUGGUCUGACCGAAAUCACUUAGAAGGUUUUGGAAGUUAGCCCUUGUCGGAUCGGUGGCUCCGAAUGCUCCUCACUCGGAGGGUCCGAAAAUGACUUGUUCAAAGUUUGUGAUGUAAGCAUGAAUAGAAUUUGAGACAAGAAAGCAUAGAUAGCUAGGGGAGGUACUUAGGCAUUCUUGUCCAUCCAUUUGGUCAGAAAAAUCAAAACGACCAAAACAACAAAUGGAUGUCCUUGAAUGGAUAAAAUCAUGCAUCCAACAUGCUCACACAAUAAGAUAGCAAAUGAAAUAUGUGUCAAACAUGCACAAUCAAAUCUCUAGCUACUAACACACAAUUUGUCGAUGACUAGGUCAUCUUUAUAUGAGUAUAUUGACUUAGGAGCCAAAUGAGAACAUUUGAUCAUAGGUCAUACUCAUCGUUUAAGCGCAAGUGGGGUUACCACUUUUACAUAAAGCAUUGAUGUGUUCACAUCAUUUGAAGAUGCUUUAGCUCAAUUCUUUAGAGCAAAGCUCCCCCUAGAUGUGAGAACCCCUUUUAAAGGGUCAAACUAACCUUGGGUUGUCGUAGAAGACUUCAUGUAGAUGUUGAAGAUGUGGAUGCUCAAUGUUGAUGAAGAUCAUCAAGAGUUGGGAGCAAUCCUUUGGAUUCGGGCACUUUCAAUACCUACAUGGGUUAGUCCCACAAGGAACAAACAAGGAUAUCCAUGGACAUAGAUUGAGAUACACAAUAGAUGAUGUCCAUGAAAGUAAUGAUUACCUUGUCCCUUGACUUACCAACAAGAGGGUUUGUGACUCCAUGAACUAGUGCACAAUGUGGAAGUUGAUUGCACAAGUUUUUGCCAAAGUGAAUGUGAGUGAAGUAUGUUGGCGGAGUCACCCUCAAGAACUCUCUAGUUCUUCUUCUUCGGGAUCCACAUCAUCUUGAUGGGAAUCCUUGGGGUUGUAGUUGAGCUUGAUGAAGUAGAACUUGAUGUUUCCUUGGGAACCCACUCGACCAUGGCUUGAGGUGCUUCAAUAAAUGCAUCAAUCUCCUCUUGAAGCUUGUCCUUGCCUUUUAGCUUGUGGUCUUGUGGUGGAAGAUCAUCUUGAGCUUGUUCCACAUUGGAAGAAGUAGGAUCAUACUUCUCCUUUUGAAGAACAAACUGUGGAGUAGGAUAUUGACCUUCUUCCCAUUCAACACCCUCGGCGUUGAACUUUCGCUCAAAACCAAUUCCUUGAUUCUUCCGGUGCCUUCCUUACUUGCGAACAAUUUCCUCAAAGUUCUUGCUUCCGGCAAGGCUCUUGUAGACACCUUUCUCUAUAAUCCCUUUCAAUAAACUAUUUUCUUGCUCAAGUGUAACUUGGCUUGAAACAUUGUUAGUGGAAUCAAGAGAAUUACUAGAAGCAACAAUAUUGGAUUUAGCAUGGUUAUUGUUACUACUAGAGAAAGAAUUUUUCUUAUGCUUGUCAUGCUUAGUUUUAAUGGGAGGCAAGAAAUUAGACAAGAGAAGUCGUUUGGCAAGAUAUGAAGAACUCUUCUUUCGAAGAUCGUCAUUGAUUGCUUUUAGAAACUCAUGUUCUUGCUCUAGAGUGAGCUUCUCGAAGCGUAGCUUCUCAUGAGAUCUUAGGAGCUCUCUAUGAUCUUCUUGAGUUGUUUCAUGAGCUAACUUAAGAGUGUUUAGUUCUUUAGUUAGACGCUCAAUCUCCUUCAUAGCAUUGUCAUUCGACUCUUCUUGACUAUAAAGACUACUAGCAUGUUCAUCAUUACUAGGCUCACUAGAUUUAUCAUGUAAGAGCUCAUCUUCACCAAGCAAGUCAUCCUCAUCACUAUCAAAGUCAAUGAAUUCAGGGUGUGAUACCUUGGGGCCUUUAGCCAUGAAGCAUCUUCCAAUUCCCUCAUUUGGUGAAUCAAAUAAGUCGUAGGAGUUGGAGUUGGAGGAUACGAGAGCAAGACCGGCAACACCUUCAUCUUGACUGUAGUCGGAGUUGGAGUGAUAGCUUCUUUCGGAUUGAUUGUCGGAGUCGGAGCCGGAGACCCAUUCACCUACAUGAGCUUGAUGUUUUCUUCUUGUGUAGCUCCUUGAUGACUUGUCUUUCCUCUCCGAAUCCUUGCUUCUCCGAGAGGGUCUUCAUUCAUAACGAUCAUCUCUACUCCUUCUCUCUUUCCGAGGUGACUCAUCUAUUG